CGGGUGAGUGCUCGGUGCGCGGGUGACAGGGCUCCGUGUGCCCGGAGAGCUGCCCGCGAUGGGCCGUGAGCAAGUCGGGGCUCUCGGCACCGUCUGGUUGGGGUGCCUUCUCCAGGCGUGCUCCCCGCCAGAGCCUGUUCCUACCCCCAGUUCGGCUGGGUCCCACCGCCUGGAGCCUCUGCGGCCGGGGCACCCUCUGGGAACUGCUGUGUUAUCGAACAGAUUUAUGUCCAGGGAUGAGAAGUGAUUUUUAAACUGUAUUCAAAAUGAAGAGAUAUAAGACAACUCUUCCCCUCUCUGAAAUGGGUUUGUGACUGUGGAGACCUGUCCAGAGGGACCUUACAGUUUUUCAUUGGGAAGAGCGGUGGAGCAAGGGUGGGCAGCACAUCUCUGUGCUAAGGCUGAGCAGUGCUGAGAGACUUUGAUACAGACUUUGUUUUAGAAAGCUCUGGGCUGAGCACUGCUCCUCAAAGGAGUGGCUGAGAGCUGGGACUGUUCAACCUGGAGAGGAAAACGCUCAGGGGUAUCCUGUUAAUUGAUACAAAUACCUGAAGGAAGGGUAAAAAGAAGGGAGAGCCAGGCUCUUUUUAAUGGUACCCAGUGAUGGGACCAGAGGCCAAGGGGCCAAUGGUACACAGGAAGCUUCUGAACAUCAGGAAACACUUUUUUUUUUCCCACUGUGAGGGUGACCAAGCAGUGGAGCAGUUGCUCAGAGAGGUUGCAGAAUUUCUAUCCUUUGAGGUAUUCAAGAGACACCAGGACAUGGUCCUGGGCAGUGGGCUCUAGGUGACCCUGCUGGAGUAGGUCUUCUAGACUUCACUUCCAACAUCAACGUUUUUAUGAUCCCUUUGCCUCAAAUCCCUCAGGUAAGUUUUUGAUAAAGGCCAGGAGGCAUUUAAAAUCCAGGACCUCUGAGCCUUGUUGUGAUGUGCUGGUGUGUUUCCUUUUGUCAACUAGUGAGCAAGCCCAUGAGACACAAGCCCAGCAACAAAUUCAUGGCAACAUCUGGAGGAACUGGCCGCUCUCCCCUCAGCAUUCUACGAGAUGAUAAUUCUCCCAGUGCUCCUGCCCCUCGCCAGGGCAAGAGGCACCUGUUGGGAGAGAACCUUGGCGAGAAGAAGGAAGUGGAUCUGAGCAGGAGCCUUAAAUCUGGGAACUGUGCUUGGAGUGACUUGAACAAGGAGAACCAGCAGUGUCCUUUUGUGGAGAACUAGACAUUUCUUUUUCAGGAUCUUGCUAUAAUUUGCUCCAAUGUUUUUGAGAAUUUUCUAGGGGGAAGAAAUCCUACAAUAGACUGAAACCCCAAAGCAGUGGUCACAUUUCUCACCUAUCCCUGCUGGGGAAAGAUUUCUCCCUCCUCUUCCCAGCUUGUCAUGUCUAAUGUACAGCACAGACUUUAUCUCUUUUACUGUAUAUCAGCUGUAUUGGUUUUUCCAUAGAGUUUUUAUCUCUAGUAAAUAAAUCUGUGUUCAACCUUUGCUGACUGUGUGUC
rnacentral:lncRNA from 1 species